CCAUGCCGCGUGUGUGAAGAAGGCCUUACGGGUUGUAAAGCACUUUCGGACGGAACGAAAUCGCGCGGGUUAACAGCCCGCGUGGAUGACGGUACCGUAAGAAGAAGCACCGGCUAACUACGUGCCAGCAGCCGCGGUAAUACGUAGGGUGCAAGCGUUAAUCGGAAUUACUGGGCGUAAAGGGUGCGCAGGCGGCCCCGCAUGUCAGGCGUGAAAUCCCCGAGCUCAACUUGGGAAUGGCGUCUGAAACUACGGGGCUGGAGUGUGGCAGAGGGAGGUGGAAUUCCAGGUGUAGCGGUGAAAUGCGUAGAGAUCUGGAGGAACACCGAUGGCGAAGGCAGCCUCCUGGGCCAACACUGACGCUCAUGCACGAAAGCGUGGGGAGCAAACAGGAUUAGAUACCCUGGUAGUCCACGCCCUAAACGAUGACGACUAGUUGUUGGGGGAGUUAAAUCCCUUAGUAACGCAGCUAACGCGUGAAGUCGUCCGCCUGGGGAGUACGGUCGCAAGAUUA
rnacentral:rRNA from 1 species